CCGUAGGUGAACCUGCGGAGGGAUCAUUACAGAGUUCAUGCCCUACCGGGUAGAUCUCCCACCCUAUGUUAUUAUUACUUUGUUGCUUUGGCGGGCCGUUAGGCUCCGGCCCGACUACCGGCCCCGGCUGGUAAGCGCCCGCCAGAGGACCCAAAACCCUGAAUAUUAGUGUCGUCUGAGUACUAUAUAAUAGUUAAAACUUUCAACAACGGAUCUCUUGGUUCUGACAUCGAUGAAGAACGCAGC
rnacentral:misc_RNA from 1 species